CGCGUAGGCGGUCAGGUAAGUCAGAUGUGAAAUCCCCGGGCUCAACCCGGGAACUGCAUCUGAUACUGCUUGACUAGAGUUUGGUAGAGGCAAGUGGAAUUCCGGGUGUAGCGGUGAAAUGCGUAGAUAUCCGGAGGAACACCAGUGGCGAAGGCGACUUGCUGGACUAAAACUGACGCUGAGGUGCGAAAGCGUGGGGAGCAAACA
rnacentral:rRNA from 1 species